CAGUCGCUGUGGCUGGGGGGGUAAUUACGGAGUACGACGCUUUGAGGAACACCUUCAUCUCCCGGGCUUCUCUUUCUCUCUCGCAGCUGCUGUAAAGGUGUCGUCAGUGAGUGACACCCAGUGAGGAAGCGGCCGUUUGGGAGGUUCUGGCAGCUCUCUGGGCUCGUGUCAGAUCUGGAUCUGUCCUCUUUACUUCUGCAGAGGAGCUUUGCGGACUUUAGUUGCCUGAUGUGUGCGAAGGAAAGUGACACCUGGAGACAGGAAGUCAAAGCAUGGAGUGAAAAAUGGAUGCUCAGUAAACACUGGGCUGAAGACAUGGACACAAACACCUGGCUUGUAUAAAGGUGUGGAAGCCUGUCCAUGCCCGUCCUGCUACUGGAGUAAGAACCACGACACCCAACUGAUCCUCGGUAAUUCUGAGGCUCCGUCUAUUGACAGGAAGCAUCAGAUGCAGCGUAUUGACUCCUGUUAUCUUUCUUUUCUUUGGAACAGGCCACUCAACUGCUCACAGUUUACUCACACAAUGUCUUUGGACACGACCAGACUUCAAGGCUGUGCCUCAGUGUGGCUUUAUGGUACAUGUAGCAGUAAAAUGACUGAUGCGCCUCAUCCUGUUGUGGAGAUUAUGUUUGACAUAAUCAGAUAAUUACUAUAAUAUGGAUGACUGCAUACAAAUGAAACCAUUAAUGGGAUAUUCUUCUCCCUGGAAUCAAAACAUAGUAAUGAAUGCAUUUCAACAAAAGUCAUUACUGCUUUAGCACAAGCAUUGUGGUCAAAACGAAU